rnacentral:rRNA from 1 species
UACGUGGGGGGCUAGCGUUGUCCGGAAUCAUUGGGCGUAAAGCGCGUGUAGGCGGCCUUCUAAGUCGAACGUGAAAUCCCUGGGCUCAACCCCAGGAACUGCGUCCGAUACUGGAAGGCUUGAAUCCGGGAGAGGGAUGCGGAAUUCCAGGUGUAGCGGUGAAAUGCGUAGAUAUCUGGAGGAACACCGGUGGCGAAGGCGGCAUCCUGGACCGGUAUUGACGCUGAGGCGCGAAAGCCAGGGGAGCAAACGGG